UCACAAGAUAUGAUGGCCCCAGCUUGUUCU
rnacentral:piRNA from 1 species